AGAGUUUGAUCCUGGCUCAGGAUGAACGCUGGCGGCGUGCCUAAUACAUGCAAGUCGAGCGGAAAGGUUCUGCACUUAUUAUUUGAACGGACAAGUCUAUCAAUGGUAGAUACUAUCUGAAAACGCUAUGCAUUGGCUAAUGAAAGCGAUCGAAUAAUGGGUGUAGAAUACUCGAGCGGCGGACGGCAGAGUAACGCGUAGGAAUGUACCCCAAAGUGAGGGAUAACUGCUCGAAAGAGUAGCUAAUACCGCAUGUGAUCUACGGAUUAAAGCUUCGGCGCUUUGGGAACAGCCUGCGUAUGAUUAGCUUGUUGGUGAGGUAAUAGCUCACCAAGGCGACGAUCAUUAGCUGGUCUGAGAGGAUGAUCAGCCUGACUGGGACUGAGAACGGCCCAGACUCCUACGGGAGGCAGCAGUAGGGAAUUUUCCACAAUGGGGGCAACCCUGAUGGAGCAACGCCGCGUGCAGGAUGAAGGCCUUCGGGUCGUAAACUGCUUUUAUAUGUGAAGAUUAUGACGGUAGCAUAUGAAUAAGGAUCGGCUAACUCCGUGCCAGCAGCCGCGGUCAUACGGAGGAUCCAAGCGUUAUCCGGAAUUACUGGGCGUAAAGAGUUGCGUAGGUGGCAUAGUAAGUUGGUAGUGAAAGCGUGCGGCUCAACCGCAUAUCCAUUACUAAAACUGCUAAGCUAGAGGGCGAGAGAGGUAGCUAGAAUUCCUAGUGUAGGAGUGAAAUCCGUAGAUAUUAGGAGGAAUACCGAUGGCGUAGGCAGGCUACUGGCUCGUCCCUGACACUAAGGCACGAAAGCGUGGGGAGCGACCGGGAUUAGAUACCCCGUUAGUCCACGCCGUAAACGAUGGAUGCUAGCUGUUAUGCGUAUCGACCCGCGUAGUAGCGAAGCUAACGCGUUAAGCAUCCCGCCUGUGGGGUACGAGCGCAAGCUUAAAACAUAAAGGAAUUGACGGGGACCCGCACAAGCGGUGGAGCGUGUUCUUUAAUUCGAUGGUAAGCGAAGAACCUUACCAAGGUUUGACAUCCUACUAAUUUCUCCGAAAGGAGAGAGUGCCUUCGGGCCGUAGUGACAGGUGAUGCAUGGCUGUCGUCAGCUCGUGUCGUGAGAUGUUGGGUU
rnacentral:rRNA from 1 species